rnacentral:rRNA from 1 species
CCCCUAGAUGUUCUGGGCCGCACGCGCGCUACACUGAACAGUUCAACAAGUCUUAACCUUGGCCGAUAGGUCUGGGUAAUCUUUGAACGCUGUUCGUGAUUGGGAUAGACCUUUGCAAUUAUGGGUCUUCAACGAGGAAUUCCUAGUAAACGCAAGUCAUCAGCUUGCGUUGAUUACGUCCCUGCCCUUUGUACACACCGCCCGUCGCUCCUACCGAUUGAAUGGUCCGGUGAAGCGUUCGGACCGUGGCCUUUGGACGGUUCGCCGUCUGUUGGCUGCGGGAAGUUCGUUAAACCUUAUCAUUUAGAGGAAGGAGAANUCGUAACA